GGUACGAAAAAAUUGUUACCAUUUUAUUUUAUUUUACUCUGAAGAUGGUGUAUUCAAAUUUAUCACUCAACGUUCAAGAUUUGAAUUUAUAACAUAGGUUGUUAUUUUCGAUAUACCUAUAAGAUAAGAAAUACAUUGAAAUUAAACGUCUGUCAGAAGUUUGAAUAAUCGAUGACGAACAAUAAACACCAGUGUAUUAUAGGUGUUCAAUUAACCAAUAUGUGAAUGCUUCAUAAGUGCAUAACCUUUAGCAAAAAUGUAAUACGUGUUU